rnacentral:lncRNA from 1 species
CAAAGAUUACCUUUCAUUCAAGGGAGGCUAUUUUUGGUGUGAGUUUCCAGUGUAGUAGGCUCAAGGAUUGUUUACUCUCUUCUAGUGGUUUGUGCCCAGUGAGAACUUCGGUGAUGUCUGUGGGUUUCAUUUCCUAGAAGGAACACCCCUAAGGAAUUCUGCCUAGUCCCACGUAGAUUUUUUUUUUCUUGAACUAUUUAAUCAUCCCAGUCAAUUUGUAAUUUGGGGAAAAAUAAAGGAAUUUGAGCUAUUAUUCAGAAUUGUGUUGCUUAAUUUUUGGUUUGCUGGUAAUUUAAAUGGUGAUUUAGAUAAACAGAAUUCCAUGAUGAAACUUAUCCAGAGGACAGGGAAAUAAUGAUUAUAGCUAACAUCUGUGGAUCACUUAACAAGUAGCAAGCUUGUUCUGUACUUCCCCACUAAAUUCUCAUGACAACCCUAUGACUUGGAGACCCAACUUUUCUCUGGUUACAGUGCCCUUAGGAUCUCAGGAAAUUUUCCCUGUGGCCCCAGGUCAAAAGAAAUACCAGUUUUCAGUAGUUAGGUCCAACCAACCCAAGAGUUGCAGUAUUGCAAUAGACAUCAUGAUUAUGUCAAAGCUUCAUGCAGUAUCUGAUAGACAUCUCCAUGUUUCCUCCUGGAGAUUUAAAAUGUGCAUUGGUGCCCUUGUGAGUUUGUUGUGGCAUCUUGGGGUGCCUUGGCACACAGCUUGGGAACCAUGGCCUCAUGAGCACAUGUUGCCAGGCACUGAGCCAUGCCCCAUGGAGCUCAGUCUACUGGGGAAGAUGGAGAGAGAUGACUGAUCAGAGCUGGGAUGGAGUGUUCACCAGGUGCGUAGAACACAAAGCAGGCUCUGUCUUGGGGCAGGGGGCAGAGGGGCAUGUAGGUUUAUGAGCAGCAAGGACAGAACCAGUCAUACCAAGCAAAGCCAGAAGAGAACAGACCAUCUGCCUGGAAAAAUGUGACACAGCCCUGCCAAGGCUGUACUUGUAUUUCACGACCAAACUACCCGUGCCCUGCUGAUUCAUUCACAUUGUCUCACCUUCUCAGACGGCUACAAUUACACACUCAUUAAAUUCAAACUUGCAUGAUAUGCAUAGUCUGCAAGAGAUACAAUUCCUUUAAUACGAUGGUGAUGGAAUUCAUACUUGACUCCAUAUGAUAUUUAAAAAUAGAAAUUCAAUGCCUUAGCAACUU